rnacentral:rRNA from 1 species
ACCCAAAUUUUUAUCCAGGUUGACCUCGGAUCAGGUAGGGAUACCCGCUGAACUUAAGCAUAUCAAUAAGCGGAGGAAAAGAAACCAACAGGGAUUGCCCCAGUAACGGCGAGUGAAGCGGCAAGAGCU